rnacentral:lncRNA from 1 species
CCUAAGUAUGUACCUAUAAAAUGGAUGUAAAGGCAACCUCAUCCCAGUAUUCAGGAUCAUCCCACUCACAACCACACAUCCUUUCCUAGGAAAACAGGCUUAUUCAUUAGAGACCAGGAUGAACAUCUUAACCAUAACAGGGAUCCUAUAUCGCUCAAUAAGGUUUCUAGUUCACUAUCCUUUUUAUAGGUCGACCACAAGAGGCCUCUCACCUAAUACUGUAGUCUAUAGGGCCUUCCUACGUCAUUCAGGCACUAUGAGGAGCCCUCACCGCCUUCAUAAUCCAAAAAGUAGGAACUAGUGAAGGUAAAACAGCUUCAACACAUCCUCCUUUCUGUUUGAUUUCGAAGAAUAGGCCAUCUAAUGAAUUUUUAGGUCAAAAGUUGAACAAAUGUGGUUUCACUUGCAUGAAUAUCAAACAAGACAAUUAGAAGGUAAAACUCUGACUACUCACUGGAAAGAAUACAAAGGUUGUCGGGGAAAUGCAAAGAAUUUUUUGAUUGCUUGAAGAUUUUUUUUUUCACAAAGUAAAAGACAUAACAAAUGUAUAAGGAAGCUUUUAUAGGCAGUCAAGAUGAACCUUAACCAUCCGAUGAACGUCACUCGAUUUGAGACAUACUCAUGUGCCUUCGAUCUAGAACGUUAAACCAAAGAGUACCUAUCAAAAUUUGAAUAAAUGAUUCGGAUCAUAUCGUGCAUAACAUGACCUAUAGGUCGCAUUGCCUCUACCAAUUGUAAUGGACUAUCAUCAUUGUGUAGUUAAUCAGCAAUAUGUAUAUUGGAAAGAAAAAAUACUUGUUAACAUAUCUUGGAAAGAGGAGAAGUUUUCAAAUUAUUGCAACAUACGUCCCAUCAACAUUUUUUCAUAAUUGUGCCUGUGCCAAAAGAGCCUUAUCACAAGUUUCAACUCUAUCAACAACUCGCCCUCUUGGCAAGGGCCUCACUUUCAUGAAUUUCAACUUUAUCAUAGCCUUCAACUCUAUCAACAGUCUCGUCCUCUCAAAAAGGGUCUAUCCUUCAUAAAUUUUAGCGUUAUCACUGGCUUCAAUUUUAUCAAGCUCGCCACUUAGCAAGGGCCUAACCUUCAACCAGGUUUGCAUACUAUAGUAACUUCUUACUCACAUAGCAUAACAUAGGCCAACUCAUUAAGAUCUCAACUUAAAUGUCCAUACUUGAACUUCGAGGAUAGAAAUGUGCUACACUAUUUCUUCUAAAGAACACUACCGACCCAACCUAACAAUUACACCUCAACUUAAAAGUCUACGCAUUAUAUGAAUAACCAUACACGAACUUUGGGGACUAUUGUUACGUCUCUUCUAGCGAGGCUCCGGAUAAUCCUACAUCGUAGAUGAACUUGAUCCACACUUCAUGUCACUUUGUUGAGAGGCAAUUUGGCUGAAUCUUGGGAAAGAGGCCAAACUUAUAAGGGAAGUUGAACCUAUAUGAAUGAGUCAACCCUAUAUGAAUAAUCGAACCCUCAUGAUAGGGCAAGGCAACAAGGGCCUAUAAGGAGAUCUUUUAUGCAAUCCUUAUUAUGUGAUUGAUAUGAUAGUUCAUUGCAACAACAAAAUAGUAUUAUCAUUAAAUGCUAAUGAUUGAUUGAUACAUUUGAUAAGUAGCAUCAACCUUGUAGAUAAGACUACAUAUACUUUCAUCCUAAGAUCGGUAUCCAUUCUACUCUACUAUAAAAGCUCACAGGAUGUAUCUUUCCAAAGGUAAUGCAGGUUUAGACUCUCAAAUUAUAUCUUUGCUAUCCUUACUCUAUUAUCAUGUAUUCUUCCCAAAGCUAAACCCGUUUUUUACAUUGGAGGCUUGUAUCUAAAGUACCUCUUACACACUACUACAAUUGACUUGAUCGUCGGAGUGUGCACACCAGUUCCACUAACACUAGAGGAAGCCAUGUAUGGCUAAUAGUUUGUCCAAGUGUGCAAAAAACUAGACUUGCGUGGAUGCAAGAGGUAUUGAGUUCUGUUGGUCACGUUGGGGAUACAAAAUUCGAGGUCAAUAGAUUUCAUUAGAAUCUCAACCAAACGUAUUAAUAUUUUCACAUUAUAUUUUGCUUCAUUAUCCUUUACAAGAUAAGAUAUAUGUAUUAUUCAAUCUCAACGUUGAAUGGAUUUCAUCCCUUUUCCAAAAUCCAUGAAUUUUUUAUGUUAUAGGAACUACCAAGUUUGUCAGAAAAAAAAUCUUAACCACACCUAUUAGUAUUUUCACAUUAUCUUAUCUUUCAUUAUCUUCUAUAAAUUAGCAUAUUGUACCUUCAUUUGUUCUUACCUUAAUACUCUACAAAUCUUUACUUCACAAAAAAAUUAGUUAAUCUUUCAAUUGUCUACCAAAUCUCUUCCAAUAUGAGUUCAAGCGCACGAAGUUCUUCAUACACAAAUGAAGAAGACUUACACUUGGUUUAUGUAUAUCUUGAUAUUUCACAAAAUUCGAUUAUUGGUAUAUACCAAUCAAAAGAUCAAUUUUGGCCUCAAGUCGAGCAUGACUAUAACAACAUAAUGCCGGACUCUAUCACUUUACCUCGACCUAAAAAAUCCUUGCAAUCUUGAAUGCCAGUUAUUCUCAAUGGAGUUGGCAAAUUGAAGGGUUGUGUUCGACAAGUUGAAAAUCUAAAUUCAAGUGGGCCUUCAAAAUAGGAUAUUAUGAGUAUUACGUGUAAUUUUUUAGUGUCAUAUUAUACUAUAUGAAAGCAUUACAUUUACACCAAUUUGUCAGUUAUAAUGAGCCAAAACAAUAUUAGCACAAGUAAUAAUUGCGAGAAAGGUUUCAAAUUUGAUCAUGUUUGGCCUAUUCUUAAAGAUAUUGAAAAAUUUAGACAAUACGUCAAUACCAUCCUCCAAAUGCAAAGUGUUAAUCAUGCAUCGUCACAAUCAUAGCCUCCAUCUUCAACAUCU